rnacentral:rRNA from 1 species
CCUACGGGACGCAGCAGUGGGGAAUAUUGGGCAAUGGGCGCAAGCCUGACCCAGCAACGCCGCGUGAAGGAAGAAGGCUUUCGGGUUGUAAACUUCUUUUGACAGGGAAGAGUAGAAGACGGUACCUGUCGAAUAAGCCACGGCUAACUACGUGCCAGCAGCCGCGGUAAUACGUAUGGAGCAAGCGUUAUCCGGAUUUACUGGGUGUAAAGGGAGCGCAGACGGCAGGGCAAGUCUGAUGUGAAAGUCCGGGGCUCAACCCCGGGACUGCAUUGGAAACUGUCCGGCUAGAGUGCAGGGGAGGG